GCAAACAGAGAAACUGUAUACCCAGAGGAAGAGGAGGAGGAAGAUCCAGCUUGCUUUUAAGUGCAGCACACUAUGGACACCAGGUUUUCAUUAAAGCUCUAAACCCCACAAACCUCUCAAUCAGCGGGCGUCAUGUCGACGGGCCCUGGCCUUGGUGUACUGGACCUGGCUGAGGGCCCUCAGACCACAGGACCUGUUGGACUCCAAACCCUGUUGGACCUACUGGUGGGCGUCUACCAGGAGUUCUGCUCUUCGCCCUUAGCAAGGGAGAAGUAUGUGUCUGGUUUCUUGCAAUGGGCGGAGCCCCUGGUGAGGCAGGUGAAGAAGACUCGCAUCAAAAGAGAAGACUUUCACAUCCUGAAGGUGAUUGGCCGAGGCACAUUCAGUGAGGUCGCAGUGGCGAGGAUGCGAAACACACAUCAAGUGUAUGCUCUGAAGAUUAUGAAUAAGUGGGACAUGCUGAGGCGAGGAGAGACAGCAUGUUACCAAGAGGAAAGAGAGGUUUUGCUGAGGGGUGAUAGACUCUGGAUUACUGAGCUGCACUACGCCUUUCAGGAUGACAACUAUCUGUACCUGGUGAUGGAUUACUAUGUUGGGGGAGACCUGCUGACCCUGCUCAGUAAGUUUGGAGACCGGCUCACUGAGGACAUGGCUCAGUUCUACCUGGCUGAGAUGGUCAUGGCCAUUGACUCUGUCCACAGGCUAGGUUAUGUACACAGAGACAUCAAACCUGACAAUAUCCUGCUGACAGCUGAUGGACACAUCAGACUCGGGGACUUUGGCUCCUGUCUGAGGCUCCUAGAUAAUGGGAUGGUUCAUUCAUCCCUCGCAGUCGGGACACCUGACUAUUUGUCUCCAGAGAUUUUGAGGGCAGUAGAAGGAGGUGGAGGUUAUGGUCCUGAAUGUGACUGGUGGGCUCUGGGUAUCUGUGCCUAUGAGAUGCUGCUGGGGACCACACCGUUCUACGCAGAGUCCAUCUCCGAAACAUACGCAAAGAUCAUCCACUUUCAGGAGUAUUUUGAGUUCCCUCCAUCUGGCCCUGAGGUUUCAGACAACGCUCGCUCCAUGAUCACCGGGCUCAUCUGUGAGAGGGAAGUCCGUCUGGGGAUGAAAGGCUUCAGUGACUUCAGGAGCCAUCCUUUCUUCUGUGGACUAGACUGGGGUUCCCUGCAUAAACUUCCUGCUCCCUUCCUACCUGAAGUAUCUAAUCCUACUGACACCUCCAACUUUGACAUUCUGGAUGACUGUCUCAGUGACAUGGAGACGCUGUCAGAUGUAAUGGACAGAGCUCCAAUAGGAGUACAUUUGGCUUUUGUUGGAUAUUCUUACACUGCUACCAGUCAGACGGGCGCCAUGGACCGCAGUAAAGACAUCAUGAUGCAGAUUGACCACAAGACGCAUAGAGAGUGUGAGAGUCUUUAUACUCCAGAGAAAGUGCUCAAAGACACGCUAUCAGAGGACCUGCCUGCACUGCUGGAACACCCGCUCACUCUGGAGCAAGAUCCUAUCGCAUCCACCGACACAACCGAAGAAGAGACUAACCAAAUAUCAGGACUCGAUGAAGACUUGCAGAGACGCUUACAAGAAGCAGAGAGGAGAUACUGUGAGCUGGAGAAAGAAAUUGAGAGACUGAAGGGGGAGAUGCAGGACGGGAGAACCCCCAAAGAGAAAGGCAAGGGAUCAACACCCCUGCUUACUCAUCACACCAUCCUCAUCUCCAUCAUCAUUAUCAUCACCAUACUCAUCAUGUUAUGCAGCCUGGACUGUUCCUCUCUGUUUCACUUUUUUAUAGGUUAUGAGUUAUGCCAUGACACCAUAGAAAAAAAUGUCAUGUUCACACUCUGAAGAACACAACCAUGACAAUACUUCAUUAUUCAUUAUAAUAUUCUAGUGUAGAAUGUGUUAAUCCUAACAACUAACACAUUCAUGCAGGUGUUCAUGAGUAGUAAUGAAAUUCACAGAACACAAAAUAAAAAGACUAAAAGUGAAGGCCAUGUAGAGGUAGGGAUGUGGCUUUCUUUUUAUUCUGUCAAAUUUGACCCAGUUGGUUAAACAAUCUUCUAAGGCCAUUUCCAGAAUAGCAGGUAUUUCAGUACCAUUACCUAAUCACACAGUCAUCCACACAACCCAAGCACUACUUUACAGUCCCGAGUCUCUUAAGAACAACAUAAAUGUGAGGUGGAAUGAGUUCCAGACAAUAUGAGCCACUCUGAACAAACACAGUGCUGCACAGUCCCAGCAGCAUCUGCUUAUGUUGGAGGCCUCAGUCAGAACAUGGUGAUAAAUACCCACUCUAAGAAUAGACUUGGUAUGCAGGAACUUGGAUGCCCGUUUCCAUAAAUCAAUACAGUGUCAUGAGCUUUUUAAAGAUGCAGUGAUGAGGGUCUUCCUGCUGCUGGGCUGAUGGAUGAAGGUGUUAUGAAUAAUAACCACAAGUCCUGUUUUUGCAUAAGCAUGUGGACAAAAAGCACGUACCUCACCUCGCUCCAUGUGUGAAGAUAAAAAAAAAAGAAAGCAGUCUGAAUUCACUUCAUUUCAAUCACUGCUUUUUCCAUCACUCUUUGUCUCCCUUCUCUCAAACUCACACAAUCAUCCCUUUCAUCACUGCAAAUGUGUACUGUUUUUGGUUUCGUCUGUUUCUUUCUUUUAUUACAAAUCUUGCUGGUCAGCAGCGCACCCCCAAGGCUGAAUGCCUGCAACAGUGCCACCGCACAUCAUGGGCUCUGAUGUUCCUCUCUCUCCUCCAAUCACAGAGCUGAGUAUCUGCCCAGCAUCUCUUGCUCUGCCUGCCCACUGUGUGGACGCACCAGGGGAUAGGAAGAGAGCGCCCCCAGCCUGCCAUUACCCGCUGGUGAUUUCCCUCCACCGCCACAUGCUCCUCUUCCACAGGGUUCGCCUGCCACAGGUGAGGAGUGAGUCAUACCUGCUGGUGUGUGCUGAAGGGGGAGAGCUCCAAGCCUGGGAGAGACAAUCUUACACUGAGCUCUCCUGAACACACCUUGAGGUGGCACAUGCUGACUUCUCCCACUAACACAGGAUUAAAGGACUGAGGCUAAACUCCCAAAGAAGACAGCAAACGCUUCUCACGAGAGCUGAGGGUGUCAUUACUGUACUGUAGGUCCUACAGUGAUGGCACCCUCAGCUCUCAUGAGAAGCUCAUAUGAUGAGACAGGCCAGUCAGCUGCUGCGAAGUGAUGAGGAAGAAAUGAUGAGGGACAUCUUCUGACCUCCCUUUCCUGCUUAACAGACAGCUGCCAUAGAGAUGCACUGAAAUGAGAUCAUACAGAGAAAAAGACUCUUUAAUGUGUGACAGUAAUGAUGUUUAAGUGAUAGAGAGAAGGCCCAGAAAAAAAUCACUCCAUGAGCAUACGAUCUUCAGGCAUUUUGGACCAUAUUGGUGCAUUUAGUUGUUACAGUAAAUAUGAUCUCAUGUAUCUGCACUAGGGGUGGUUUGUACUUGUGUUGCACUAUAGGCAUGUUUUUGCUGUGCCUUUUUUAGUACUGAAAAGGUUACUAAUUAUAACCAUGAAAUCGGGGUUUUGGUAUUAUAAUGGUUUAUGCAUAUUAACUUAGGCCAUAGCAGCACAAGCUCUUACAGUGUGAAAGGUGUGCAGCAUAAAUAAAGACUUACUGUAGGCUAGAAGAUGUGUAGCAUGGUAAAGGUCAGAUAUGAAGCAUAAAUAAGGCAGAGCACUAAGUCGCACUUGUAUCAGCUGAUUUAAAUCAGCUGUUUUAUGUAUGCUUUGCAAUGAUUGGCUCAUUCACAGCUGUACUGUAGGCCAUACUAGUAUGCCCAGUCAUAUUUAUUCAGAUGGUGAGUGCAGUCAUUAUAACCAGUGUCAGGACUUUAUCGUUAAAGCCAAUCACCAAAGUCCUCCAGUGCACAUCCACCCUCUCAUCAAAGUUUGUACAUGCUUCCAAACAUUGUCCCACAUGUAUUCUCUCAAUGUUAUGUCUGCCUCUUAUUGUGUGGUGACAAAUAUGAUUGUUCUUUAUUGUAAUCAUGUUUUGGCCUAACAGUCAAAUUUAACAAUGUGGGGCUUCAAAUGUAAUUUGUUGUGUACUUUAUAUGUAAUUGUGGAUGGUAAACUCUUUCUCAGGUUGCUUAAAACGGCCAAACUCUCAAAACAAUAUGGAGGUCAUGACCUUGGUGUAAUCACUGGGAGCGGAUGUGAUUAUAACCUGCACUUCUCACACUCAUCCUCACUCCGAUGAUACACCCAUGCUACUGUUAGCUUUUAGCUGCUGCAGCUCUGUCCUUCACUUUUCUGUCCACAAAAUUCACUUGCUCUGUUAUUCAGUCUCUGUCUGAAUUACCCGUAGAUUGAACUGGGCAAUGUGUCAGCCAUUGUUUUCAUUAAAUGAUCCAUGA